rnacentral:rRNA from 1 species
AACACAUGCAAGUCGAGGGGCAGCAUGAACUUAGCUUGCUAAGUUUGAUGGCGACCGGCGCACGGGUGAGUAACACGUAUCCAACCUGCCGAUGACUCGGGGAUAGCCUUUCGAAAGAAAGAUUAAUACCCGAUGGCAUAAUUCUUCCGCAUGGUAGAAUUAUUAAAGAAUUUCGGUCAUCGAUGGGGAUGCGUUCCAUUAGGUUGUUGGCGGGGUAACGGCCCACCAAGCCUUCGAUGGAUAGGGGUUCUGAGAGGAAGGUCCCCCACAUUGGAACUGAGACACGGUCCAAACUCCUACGGGAGGCAGCAGUGAGGAAUAUUGGUCAAUGGACGAGAGUCUGAACCAGCCAAGUAGCGUGAAGGAUGACUGCCCUAUGGGUUGUAAACUUCUUUUAUACGGGAAUAAAGUGAGGCACGUGUGCCUUUUUGUAUGUACCGUAUGAAUAAGGAUCGGCUAACUCCGUGCCAGCAGCCGCGGUAAUACGGAGGAUCCGAGCGUUAUCCGGAUUUAUUGGGUUUAAAGGGAGCGUAGGCGGACGCUUAAGUCAGUUGUGAAAGUUUGCGGCUCAACCGUAAAAUUGCAGUUGAUACUGGGUGUCUUGAGUACAGUAGAGGCAGGCGGAAUUCGUGGUGUAGCGGUGAAAUGCUUAGAUAUCACGAAGACUCCGAUUGCGAAGGCAGCCUGCUGGACUGUAACUGACGCUGAUG